GUAAACGAUAAAGUCGCAAAACGCGCAACAUUGCGCCUCGUCGUUGGCUCGUCUCGUGCGUGCAUUCCAUGUGAAUAUCUACUUUAACUAGCAGCUUAGGCACUUCGGAUAAUUCCCCCUCCUUACUUUGGAUAUUAUAAAUUACGCUUUCGGCUGUGGAUAUACGCCCCGAUUUUGGAUUAAUUAACUACGAAAAGCGCCAUGUCGACUAUUAACUAUCAAAUGAGCGCACUUCUACUGGCCACCGCAAUGGCCCUGCUGUGCGGCCAAGUGUUGGGGCAGGCCCAGCUGCUGGACGAGGACGAGGAUGUCUAUGGCAGGCCCUGGCCCACCUACAGUCUGCAGAAUAUGCCCAAGACGCAGUUCACCUGCCGGGACAAGAUACUUGGCGGCUACUAUGCCGAUCCCGAGACGCAGUGUCAGAUGUUCCAUGUCUGUGUCAAGCUGCCCGGAGUGGGGCUCUCACAUCGAAGAAAUAAUUCGUUUGUCCAACAGGUGCAGGACUAUCGCUUCCUCUGCCCAAACAGCACUGCCUUCGAUCAGGAGCUGCAGAUCUGCGCCAACUGGGCAGACGUCGACUGCGACAAGUCCACGUCGCUCUAUCUGAACGAUUUGUAUCGCUCGGGUGACGAGAGCAAGAGCGUUAAUCAGGAGGAUGAAUCCACCUUCCAUUUGCAGCGCGCCGAAAGUGGUGAUGUGCGUCGCUCCAAGGAGAGCCGCGGCGAUCAAAAGUCGCGCCCCAGACAUAAUUAUGCGGUGACUGCUUCCAGUUCCAAUGCGGACAACGCGCCGACAACCAAACGACCCAUCACUAGCUAUUAUACGCCCACGACAACAACAACCACAACAACAUCAACUGAACGUAACUACUACAACAACAAUAACAACUACAACAACAAAUACAACAAUAACAACAACUACAACGACGACUCGAAGCAAGACAUCGAUGAUAUCUUUAAAGGUUCCCACAGCUCGCACUUCUUUGCCAAUCGGCAUGGCGGGCGCGAAUUUGACGAGGAGCCACCGCGUCCCAGGCCCAACGACUUCAACGAUUACAAUCGCAAGACCACUGAGGCGGCUAGCAAGACGCGUGCCACGCCCACACGUGGGCAGCGCACCAGCCAGACUCCCAGUGCCAGCCCUGGCACCAGCACCACAGCUGCUCCCUCAACGAAAUCCGUGAAGAAGAUAACGCUGCAUGCUUCCUUCAAUACAGGCUUUCAGGACUAUACGCAGCACUACAAGUCGACCACGCCCAGCACCUUGGCGCCCACAGCGAGCACCACACCGCGCCUGGGCAGCGGCAUCACCAGCCGCUUCAGCUUCGGCUCCAAUGACUAUCAGACCCAGGAGCGCAUCCAGCCAACCACAUAUAAUCCGAACAAUGGUUUUCGCUACAAGAGCACGGAGCAGCCGUCCAGCUCGACCAAGCUGACGGGCAAGAAUGCCCAGGACUUUGACAAGGAGACCACCAGACGACACAAGCCAACUGCGUCAGCACGCAAGCAGAAGCUCGGCCCGCAGGAGUCCAACUACAUCAAUCACAAUGAGUUCGCUGAGCUGGCCAAGCCGCAGCCAUUCCAGGCCAAUCAAGAUGCAGCCCGGAAACCUGCCCAGCUGGAGCCGCAGUAUCAACGGCCUCGCUCCCAAUCAACCGCUCAGCAGUUGACUCGCGUGGGCAGCCAGGAGCCGUCGCCAUUCAAGUCCUCGUCGAGCGCCUCUGCCUCCAAUGCCAAGCCGCGCACCUUUGCAAGCCGCGGCAGCAUCACCUACAAGGCGACCACCCAGCGCUAUGCCGACGAUGAGUUCUACUAUCCGACCACCACCAGCACAGCGAAUCCCAGCAAGAAGUUGUCCACGCAGGCCCUAAGGGAUGCCUUUACACCCACCACCUUCAAGCCGACGACGUACAAGAAGGCCUAUGAGCAGAGUUUCUAUCAGGUGCAGCAAACGCAGCGCCCCAGCCAGAGUCCGAGCUCCAAGAAGACAACGGCUGUGACACCUGCGCUGCCCAGCACAGCCAAUCCGCACGCCAAUAUUGAUGAGGAUGACGGACAGUACCAUCCGGAGCUGUAUGAGAGUGACUUCCCGCGCAAUCGCUUCAAGUUUCUGCGCAACCGAUCAACCACCAGCCCCACGACCUCCGCGAGCACCACCAGUGCUCCCGUCUCGAGCAGGCAGCCUCAUGGGUUUCAGCAGGCGCACAGCCAUCUGAGGAGCCAGCAGCAGUCCGCCUAUCAGAAGCAGCAUGAGCAGGAGCAAUCGGAUCUGAGCGACGAGGAUGAGCUAUUCAAGACGGCCCAAUCGCUCAACUUUGGCGCUGCCAGCAUCAACAAGCUACGCGCUGAUAUCUACAAGGCGGAGAAGACCUCGCAGCAGUAUAACUCCCAGUACAGUCCACAGUUGGCGCCAUCUAGUCCGAAGACGAUCGCCCAGGUGACCAGCUCUACCACGACAUCACCGACAACAACUACAACCACAACAAGGCGCCCCACAACAAGCACAACGAAAACAACAACAACCACCACCACCAGCUCUCCGGUGGAGUCUAAGAAAUCGGCCAAGAGCAAAAAGGAGGACAAGAAGAGCAAAUCCAAGCGGCCGCCAUAUGCCGACGAGGAUACCAGCUACGACUACGCCUACUACGACACGGAUUGAGCUCCAGGUCAGCAGCAGCAUCGGCAUACGUCCAGCUCAGCCCAGCCUAGCCCAGUUCCCGAACUAUAUAGCCCUUAUUUUGUAUGCCUUCAUCGCAAACUAACAAUGUUAAAACACAUACUUGAAUCCUCUCCAGCAGCAACUAUAUAGAUUCAGCUAUUGCUCGCAUUUUUUCAUCGUCUUCGGCUAUUCAUGGCCCCUGAAUACCCAUUAACACUCGCGUACAUUCAUUCAAUCAGAUGAGUUCGUUCUAAUGAAUUUCCAUGCGUGUAUCUAGUUAUUUAAAUAAAACAAACAUAUAUUUAGUCGUUAGACAAUUGUUAAACUGAAAAAAAGGAAACACGA